CCUACGGGUGGCAGCAGUGGGGGAUAUUGCACAAUGGGGGAAACCCUGAUGCAGCGACGCCGCGUGUGGGAAGACGGUCCUCUGGAUUGUAAACCACUGUCUCCAGGGACGAAGAUGACGGUACCCGGGGAGGAAGCUCCGGCUAACUACGUGCCAGCAGCCGCGGUAAUACGUAGGGAGCAAGCGUUGUCCGGAAUUAAUGGGUGUAAAGGGAGCGUAGGCGGGAUGGCAAGUUGGGUGUUAAAUCUACCGGCUCAACUGGUAGUCGCACUCAAAACUGCUAUUCUUGAGUGCAGUAGAGGCUGGCGGAAUUCCUAGUGUAGCGGUGAAAUGCGUAGAUAUUAGGAGGAACACCAGUGGCGAAGGCGGCCUGCUGGGCUUUUACUGACGCUGAGGCUCGAAAGUGUGGGGAGCAAACAGGAUUAGAUACCCGGGUAGUC
rnacentral:rRNA from 1 species